CCAGCAGCCGCGGUAAUUCCAGCUCCAAUAGCGUAUAUUAAAGUUGUUGCAGUUAAAAAGCUCGUAGUUGGAUUUCUGGCAUGGGGCGAGGGCGCGCAUGUGCGAGGCCCAAGUGCCAUGCCAUCCUUCUGUUAACCUUUCUUGGCAUUCAUUUGUUAGUUAGGGGCUCAGAUAUUUUACCUUGAGAAAAUUAGAGUGUUUCAGGCAGGCUCGCGCCGGGAUACAUUAGCAUGGAAUAAUGGAACAGGACUUUAGCCUCUUCUGUUGGUCUGAGGGGUCGAAGUAAUGAUUAAUAGGGAUAGUUGGGGGCAUUAGUACUAAACUGUCAGAGGUGAAAUUCUCGG
rnacentral:rRNA from 1 species